rnacentral:rRNA from 1 species
UACGAAGGGUGCAAACGUUGCUCGGAAUUAUUGGGCGUAAGCGCACGUAGGCGGCUUGGCAAGUCGGAUGUGAAAUCCCUCGGCUCAACCAAGGAAGUGCAUCCGAUACUGGAUGGCUUGAAUCCGGGAGAGGGAGUGCGGAAUUCCAGGUGUAGCGGUGAAAUGCGUAGAUAUCUGGAGGAACACCGGUGGCGAAGGCAGGACUCUGGGCAUUUUCUGACGCUGAUGCACGAAGGCCAGGGUAGCGAACGGG